GCAGAAGGUCACGUGCUUGGAGCAGAGCAGAGGACAUUUCCCACUUCUACACUCCAGAUGGUUUUGGCCUUGCUGGAAGCGGUCACAAAGUGGCUUUGGAAUUCACUCACACAACAGGAGGGCACUUUGCACAGGUGGAGAAUGUGUCCUGAGGACCUAAGCCUAAGAAUCUUCAAGAUGGAAGAGUAGAGUGAGCAACGAAUGAGCCAGAGGGCUUUUGUCCUCUGUGUGCAGCUCUGGGCAGCCAGCAGGUGGAUAUGGGACUUGGCCUGCUGGAGGGGCCCUGGCAAGAGGAGCUGGCAGGAGCAGAUGGCAAAGCAUUCCUUCUUUCUGGACAUGGGGCAGGAGAAGACAAAACUGGCUACAGUGAUCACAUCAGUUUCCAGGGCCAUUUAUACUUCCUUACACCCUUCCCUAGGAAGAGUGACGUAAGGAAACAGAAGAUGUCUUAUGAAUUCCAUAUGCAUUAUCUGCAGGAAAAAGAGGUCUGGAUAAACGUGGAAGAAAAGAACAGUCACCAAAGGGUACGAUGUUUGAGGCUGAAUUGAGAAACCAAAUCCCAAACCUUAUAUAGGAUUGUUUUGACAAAAUUCAACAGCCCUUCUGCUAAAAACCUCAAUAAAUUCGGUACUGAUGGAAACGUACCUCACAAAUAAUAACAGCUAUUUAUUGACAAACCCACAGCCAAUAUCAUACUGAGGGGCAAAAACUGGAAAAAUUCCC
rnacentral:lncRNA from 1 species